GGGAAUCACAUAACCACUCCUUGUUUUUUCCCAUUCUCUCCGAGUGAGCGAUGGAGCGAUGGAGCCUAUGCAGCAGCAGCAUCAUCAUCAUCAUCAUCGUCAUCAUCAUCAUCCCAUGCAAAGCUUGCCCUAUAGAGCAGCGGUUCCCAACCUGAGGUGUGGGGACCACAACGGGUUCAUCGUGGAGCUCCGUCAAAUCCGGCCCUCGAAUGCAGAAUGGCCAACAGCGCAGCAUCCGCCCACAUCCGCCCACAUGCUCCUCGACUCUUAUGCAGUGUUUUUUUUGUAUUUUCUACAUUUUUGUUUUGUUGUGUGGAUUUCAAGCGAGUGGUGGACUAAACGUUGUGUCACAUAUUGUUACUCGUUACCCGGAGAGAGGCUAGAAGGAGAUAUGUGAUUCCAAAAUGUGAACUUUCUUCAAUGAAAACCGGCGCAGCUCGCAUUAGCAGAUAGCGUUAGCACUUCUAUGCUACGCUAGUGACUGAAGGUAUACUCAAUUCAAUUCAAUUUAUUUGUAGAGCCCAUUUUCACAAAUUACAAAUGUGUCUCAAAGUGCUUUACAAUCUGUACAUAUAGACAUCCUGCAUUAAUGACAGUAACAUGAAUAAAUACCGACCCAGCGUUACAGGAACUAUGUCUGGAGGCUGUAGCUUCUAUCUUCAUCUUUUUAUCGUGUUGUUGCUGCAGAACCAGUUCUCUCUGAAAUCGCACUAAGACGGGUCAGUUGGACCUGUUCCAUUAUAUCCCCAUAGGCUGAUGAUAUUGUUCAUUUAUAUUAUCUUGCAUGUUUUACGACGACAGUCUCUCUAUAAUAUUCAUAUUAAUGGGUAUGGACAAACCUGUAAAAUGUAAUCCAAUCAUGUGCAAUAAAUAAUUAAGUCUGCUGCCUU